AAGGCGAGAAAAAGGCAAAUGGCAAGGGGGGAAGAAGAGUGGAGGAAGAACCUAAGCAGCAAACCCUAGUCGCGACUACACCACCACCACCACCAUUGAUUCCGAUGGACUUCGCGGAGCUGGAGGCGGUGGAGGGCCUCCGGUGGCCGUGGCACGCGUGGCCGCCGACCGCCUCCGCCGCCGCGUCGCUCGUCGUCCCGACCUCCGUCCUCUGCACGCCGCUGCACCCGGCGGCGCCCGACCUCCUCCCGCUCCUCCCCUACGCGCCGCUCCGCUGCGGCGGCGGCGGAGGAGGGGGAGGGUGCGGCGCGGCGCUCAACCCGUUCUCGCGUGUCCACCACGCCACAGCGCGGUGGGCGUGCCCGUUCUGCGGCGCGUCGGCCAACCCGUUCCCGCGCCUCCUCGCCCCCGACGCGCUCCCCGCCGAGCUCUUCCCGACCCACUCCAGCGUCGAGUACGCGCUGCCGCCGGACGCCGCCGAGGCCGGCGGCGGGCCGGGCCCUCCGUCCGUCGUGUUCGUCGUCGACGCGGCCACCUCGGGGCCAGAGCUCGCCGCGCUCAAGGCGGAGGUGCUCAGGGUCGUGCAGGGGCUGCCCGAGGGGGUCAGGGUCGCGCUCGUCUCCUUCGCGGCGUCGGUGUGGGUGCACGAUCUCGGCUUCGAGGGGUGCACCAGGGUGGUGGUGAUGAACGGGGAGCGCGAGCUCGAGUCGGAGAAGAUACAGGAAUUUCUAGGUGUUCGUGAUGCUCGAUACAAUAAGUUGGCUAUGCCAAGGUCCACUAAAGUGCAGAGAUUUUUGCUGCCUGUUUCUGAAUGUGAAUUUAACAUCACAUCUGCGAUAGAAGACCUGAGAUCCAUGUCUGCUUGCCCACGUGGGCAUCGCCCUUUAAGAGCCACUGGUGCUGCUAUUUCCACAGCUGUUGCUCUUCUAGAAGGUUGUUGUUCACCUAAUGCCGGAGGUCGGAUCAUGGUCUUCACAUCUGGUCCCACAACAGUUGGUCCAGGGCUUGUGGUGGAAACCGAUCUCGGGAAAGCAAUUCGUUCUCAUCGCGACAUUUUCAAUGGCAAUGCUCCUCUCAUUGACAAAGCCCGAGAAUUCUAUAAGAAAGUUGCAAACAGGUUAACAGCUCAUGCAUUAGUUCUUGAUCUAUUUGCUUGUUCUCUAGAUCAGGUUGGGGCUGCGGAGCUGAGAUACCCAAUUGAAGUGUCUGGGGGCUUAAUGGUGCAUACAGAAUCAUUUGAGUCUGAGCAGUUCAAAGCCUGUUUAAGACACAUAUUCAAUCGUGAGGGUGUUGGUUACCUUAACAUGAACUUUAAUGCAACAAUUGAGAUAGUAACAUCAAGGGAGGUGAAAAUUUGUGGUGCCCUUGGUCCCUGCAUCUCUCUUCACAGGAAAAACAGCUCUGUUAGUGAUAAAGAAAUUGGGGAGGGUGGGACAAACUAUUGGAAAAUGAGUACAGUGGACAGCAAAACCUGCAUCGUGUUCUUCUUCCGAGUGGACUGUAGCCAUAAUACUGAGCCCCCAACUGUCUUCUUUAUUCAGUUCAUGACGAGGUACCGGCAUGGUGAUGGUAGCUAUCGCCUAAGAGUAACAACUGUUGCGAGAAGAUGGGCUGGACCUCGUUCUCCUGAGAUUGCAGCAGGGUUUGAUCAAGAAGCUGCUGCAGCUGUUAUGGCCAGGCUUGCCGUGCACAGGGCAGAGACAUACCAUGUUAGAGAUGUGAUAAGAUGGCUUGAUAAGAUGCUUAUUCGCUUUACUGCCAAGUUUGGGAACUAUGUCCCUGAAGAUCCAUCUACAUUCCGGCUGUCAACUAACUUCUCGCUGUAUCCCCAAUUCAUGUACUACCUGCGGAGGUCACAGUUCAUUGAUGUUUUCAAUAGCUCCCCUGACGAAACUGCUUUCUUUCGGUUGAUGUUGAAUAGGGAAGGAGUUGUGGGGUCCCUAAUCAUGAUCCAGCCAACUUUAUUCCAGUACUCGUUUGAUGGCCCACCUAUUCCUGUGUUGCUAGAUGUCAGCUCCAUCUCUCCCGAUGUCAUUUUACUAUUUGAUUCAUACUUCUAUAUUGUUAUUCAUUAUGGCUCAAAGAUUGCUCAAUGGAGGAAACUUGGCUAUCAUAAGGACCCAAAUCAUGAAAAUUUGCGGAAGCUGCUUGAAGCCCCAGAAGUUGAUGCGGAGGCACUAUUGGUAGACCGUUUCCCAGUGCCAAAACUCAUAAAAUGUGAUCAGCAUGGGAGCCAGGCCAGGUUUCUUCUAGCUCGGUUGAAUCCAUCUGUGACACAGAAAACACAGCUUUCAGAUGGUUCUGAAGUCAUAUUCACCGACGAUGUUAGUUUGCAAGUUUUUAUUGAACACUUGCAGGAGCUGGCUGUUCAGGGUUAGUGAGGCAUGGAGCCUGGCGAUGUUUCCACUUUUGCAGUUGGACCCACCUCUGAUCCUGAAGAUAUAGCUUUCAGAAGGAUUGAAUGUCAUAUUCACAGAUGAUGUUUGCUUGCAAGUUUAUUGAACACUUGAAGUAAUUUGCUGUGCAGGAUUGAUGGAUCAUGUGGACUGUUUAUAUGUUACUUUCUGGUCUUCUGUUAUCUUGAAAGUUCCGGGAGAGCUUUACUGCUUGGAAGGAUGGGAUCUCCUCGAGUUGUUGUACAUUUCACCAGCUCCAGUUUGAUGUUCCCGUGGCCAGCGAUUUACCAGUUGCGGUGAAGGUGCCGAACAUCUUCUGCAGAGCAAGGGAGAGGUCCUUGUAGCUGUUGUACAUCUUCAGGUCCACCUUGCGCAGGUAGGGUGCCCCGUCCAUGCUGACCUUCACGAAGGCAGAGCUGUUGCUGCCGCUGGCAUUGGCAGCGGGCUGCUGCUGCUGCUUGUCAGCUUCCUCUUCCUUCUUGCUCUUCACUGACUGGACGGUCAUGAUGUUCCUGCGGAACGACCGAACUGGUGGCCAACCCACUGCCUGCGCCCUGAUGUGUAACAUUGGAAAUUAGCUACUACAUCGAUUUUUUUUUCUUUUGCUCAGUUUUUUCACAUCUUGUUCUAACUUAUUGGCGCUGUGAAAAAACUGAGAUGAUUUACUUUCGUGACUGGAAGUUCCAUCCAGCUAGAUCAUGCAUGUUACAAUAUUCUUGCUGGCGACCAACUCUGUGUUAACUAAUGUAUUAUGUGUGUAUGCCUGCAGCAACUUUAUGGUAGUACUGUGUGUAUAAUGAAAAUGCCAUCAACUUUAGUUAUUGCCA